rnacentral:rRNA from 1 species
UACGAAGGGUGCAAGCGUUACUCGGAAUUACUGGGCGUAAAGCGUGCGUAGGUGGUUGUUUAAGUCUGCUGUGAAAGCCCUGGGCUCAACCUAGGAAGUGCACUCGAAACUGCGAGACUUGAGUCCUGGAGAGGAAGGCGGAAUUCUCGGUGUAGAGGUGAAAUUCGUAGAUAUCGAGAGGAACACCGGUGGCGAAGGCGGCCUUCUGGACAGUGACUGACGCUGAGACGCGAAAGCGUGGGGAGCAAACAGG